CAGAGAUUUCCGAAUGGGGAAACCCAGCAUGAGUUAUGUCAUGUUAUCGAUAUGUGAAUACAUAGCAUAUCAGAAGGCACACCCGGAGAACUGAAACAUCUUAGUACCCGGAGGAAGAGAAAGAAAAUUCGAUUCCCUUAGUAGCGGCGAGCGAAACGGGAAGAGCCCAAACCAACAAGCUUGCUUGUUGGGGUUGUAGGACACUCUAUACGGAGUUACAAAGGACGACAUUAGACGAAUCAUCUGGAAAGAUGAAUCAAAGAAGGUAAUAAUCCUGUAGUCGAAAAUGUUGUCUCUCUUGAGUGGAUCCUGAGUACGACGGAGCACGUGAAAUUCCGUCGGAAUCUGGGAGGACCAUCUCCUAAGGCUAAAUACUCUCUAGUGACCGAUAGUGAACCAGUACCGUGAGGGAAAGGUGAAAAGCACCCCGGAAGGGGAGUGAAAUAGAACCUGAAACCGUGUGCUUACAAGUAGUCAGAGCCCGUUAAUGGGUGAUGGCGUGCCUUUUGUAGAAUGAACCGGCGAGUUACGAUUUGAUGCAAGGUUAAGCAGUAAAUGUGGAGCCGUAGCGAAAGCGAGUCUGAAUAGGGCGUUUAGUAUUUGGUCGUAGACCCGAAACCAGGUGAUCUACCCUUGGUCAGGUUGAAGUUCAGGUAACACUGAAUGGAGGACCGAACCGACUUACGUUGAAAAGUGAGCGGAUGAACUGAGGGUAGCGGAGAAAUUCCAAUCGAACCUGGAGAUAGCUGGUUCUCUCCGAAAUAGCUUUAGGGCUAGCCUCAAGUGAUGAUUAUUGGAGGUAGAGCACUGUUUGGACGAGGGGCCCCUCUCGGGUUACCGAAUUCAGACAAACUCCGAAUGCCAAUUAAUUUAACUUGGGAGUCAGAACAUGGGUGAUAAGGUCCGUGUUCGAAAGGGAAACAGCCCAGACCACCAGCUAAGGUCCCAAAAUAUAUGUUAAGUGGAAAAGGAUGUGGCGUUGCCCAGACAACUAGGAUGUUGGCUUAGAAGCAGCCAUCAUUUAAAGAGUGCGUAAUAGCUCACUAGUCGAGUGACACUGCGCCGA
rnacentral:rRNA from 1 species